rnacentral:lncRNA from 1 species
UUUUAUUUCAAGAUAUGAUUGUGAGAGAAUGAUGAGGGGAGCAGUUAGUCUAUUUGAGCUGUUAUAAUAAAAUACCACUGACUAGGAAAUGUAUAAAGAGGGCUUUAUUUUUCCAGAGUUCUGGAGGCUGGGAAGUUCAACAUCAAAACAUCAGUAGGUUCAGUUGUCUGUUGAGGGCUCAUGUCUGUUUCCAAGAUGAUGCCUUCAUGCUGCAUCUUUUGGAAGGGAGGAGCAUUGUGUCCUCACAGAGCAGAAAAUAGAAGGGCCACAGGACAAACUCCCUCUAUCAAGCCUUUUCAUAAGGGCACCUGAUCCCAUUCGCAAAGCUCUAUCUUCGUGACUUGACUUAAUCACUUCCCAAAGGUCCCACCUCCUAAUACUUACACUGUUUCAACAGUAAACAGUUUAUGUAGAGUUUCAACAUAAAUUAAGGAGGGGACAAAACAUCCAAACCAAGGAAGGCUGGGAGGGCAGCCAGAGGGAAAGUGCAAGAGGAGGUUUGGUGGAGGUGUCCUAGAUUGUUUGCAGUCCAAGGAGGUUGGGGAGAGUGUCAGUAACAGGCCUGCCUUGGUAUCCCUGCUCUGCAGUCACUGGCUAAGAGCAGUCCUUAGAAAGCACAGCCUGGCACAAAUACAACAAGAAUAUGUGCUCAGUAGGAAAGAGACCACAUUUCCCCAAUAGCCCAGGUAAUGCCCUCCCCUCAACUGGCAUCUCUGUUCCCUAAACAUUGACCUCUUUUCUCUGAAUCUCUUGGGGACACAUGGGUUGAAUUCAGGUUCUCUGUAGCCCUCUGGAUUCUGUCUGCCUCUGUUAUAUCUUCACGAACAAGUUACGCAGCCUCAACUAAAGCUUGUAACAGAGCAAAGUUACUCUCCUGAGUGUGUCCUCUGAUGGAUGGUGAGAUAUAACUUCAAGAUGAAGCCUCACCCACACUCCCUGUACAAAAACGCUUCUCACGUAAGUGUCUCUUUAAGUGCUUACUGUAGUAUGACUUAUUGCUAAACUUUCGUCCACACUCUUGGCAUUCAUAAGGCCUCUCUCCUGUGUGUAUUCUUUCAUGCACAGUGAGGUCUGACUUACUGGUAUAGCCUCGCUUACACUCCUGGCAAACAAAAGGCUUCUCUCCUGUGUGUGUUCUCUCAUGCACAGUGAGGUAUGACUUACUGGUAUAGCCUCGUCCACACACCUUGCACAGAAAAGGCUUCUCUCCUGAGUGUGUCCUCUGGUGUCUGAGGAGGUUGGCCUUGAGGCUGAAGCCUCGCCCACACUCACUGCACACAUAGGACUUCUCUCCUGUGUGUGUGUUCUGGUGCAAGAGCAAUGCUGACUCAUCUCUAAAGCCCUGGUGACACUCCCUGCAUGUAAAAAGUUUCUGCCUGGAAUGUGCUUUUUUGUGUAUGAUUACCAUCAUCUUCCGGCUGAAGUCUUGCCCACGCUCUGCACACUUGAAUGCUCCCCAUCUUGAAUUUUCUAUUCCUUUCAAUACUUUGUCUAUUUCUGUAGGAUUUUCCCUCUGGCCUUGACUAGACUCUAUUUCCACUACACUGUUCCUCCUCCUUGAGCUUACUGCAUGUCUUAGGGGUGGGCUGGAAAAUGCCAUGGGCUUAGUGCUUUUUUCUUUCUCUUGACCUUCAGCUGUGUCACUCUGGAAGCUUUGAUCAGAAAAUUGUAGUUGCUGUUGCCUCUGAUGUGCAAGUCCAAGAUUCUUGGGCCGCAGGACAUGUUCUGCAUAUAUUCCUG